rnacentral:rRNA from 1 species
UACGUAGGCAGCGAGCGUUGUUCGGAGUUCUGGGCGUAAAGGGUGUGUGAGGCGGUUGUUUAAGUUUGGUGUGAAAUCUCCCGGCUCAACUGGGAGGGUGCGCCGAAUACUGAAUGACUAGAGUGCGGGAGAGGUGAGUGGAAUUCCUGGUGUAGCGGUGAAAUGCGUAGAUAUCAGGAGGAACACCGGUGGUGUAGACGGCUCACUGGACCGUAACUGACGCUGAGACACGAAAGCGUGGGUAGCAAACAGG